ACGAAUCGAACAUACACUAGAAUGAGAGGGAUCUGGAGACUGUAUAGGUAUGGGACUAUACAAUUGAAAGAUAGCUUAAAGGAAUUGAUUUGGCUACCCAUAUCACCAAAAUGCAUUUACUUUUCGGAAGCCUAACCCUUAAGAACUUCAUGGUUAAGCGUGCUUAGCCUGGAGUAAUUCUGGGAUGGGUGACCUUCCGGG
rnacentral:lncRNA from 1 species